UCAUAUCACCAGUUCCCUUGGGCUCUCCGAGGAAUGAAUACACAGUCCAGUGCCCUCCAUGUUGAUUUCUGAACUGAGGUGAAGCAUCUGGGAUAACAUGACCAAGAAGAUGGCCCUGGUGCCUACUCUGACUGAGCCAGGUGUUCAAUCGGACCCUAAUUUGGCAUCAGGACAAGAUAGAGCAAGACAGAACAAACCACACGGUGGGUGUGUCCUGGGAAAAUGAAGUAUUCUGCCCCCAACAAUCAAAAGACCCUGCUCUCCCUUGCAUGGCUUGUGAGGUGAGUUCCCCAGUCCUACCAUCCAGACCUGCACCGGGGAGACAGGCUUCAGAGCAGAUGUUGAGUGCUCAGCUUUGGAAGGUCUGAUGAUGAUCUCUGCACUGGUCACCUGCAGUUU
rnacentral:lncRNA from 1 species